GUGCUUGUUUCCACAGCACAAAUGCUAAAAUUGGAAUGACAUAAAAAAGAUUAGCACGGCCCCUCUACAAGGAUGACAUGCAAAUCCAUGAGGCAUUCCAGAAGAAU
ensembl:snRNA U6 U6 spliceosomal RNA